rnacentral:rRNA from 1 species
GACGAACGCUGGCGGCGUGCUUAACACAUGCAAGUCGAACGAGAUCCAUGUUGUAGCAAUACUUCGGAAGAUCUAGUGGCGAACGGGUGAGGAACACGUGAGGAACCUGCCCCGGACUUCGGGAUAACAGUUGGAAACGAUUGCUAAUACCGAAUACCUCUGCGAAGUGGCAUCACUUUGCAAAGAAAGAAUUUCGGUCCGGGAGGGUCUCGCGGCCUAUCAGCUAGUUGGUGGGGUAACGGCCUACCAAGGCAUCGACGGGUAGCUGGUCUGAGAGGAUGAUCAGCCACACUGGGACUGCGACACGGCCCAGACUCCUACGGGAGGCAGCAGUGGGGAAUCUUGUGCAAUGGGCGAAAGCCUGACACAGCAACGCCGCGUGCGGGAAGAAGGCCUUCGGGUCGUAAACCGCUUUCAGCAGGAACGAAAAUGACGGUACCUGCAGAAGAAGGUGCGGCCAACUACGUGCCAGCCGCCGCAGUAA